UCUAUUUAAUCCCUGGCCUCAGGACGAACGCUGGCGGCGUGCCUAAUACAUGCAAGUCGAGCGGACUUGACGGAAGCUUGCUUCUGUUCAAGUUAGCGGCGGACGGGUGAGUAACACGUGGGUAACCUGCCUGUAAGACUGGGAUAACUCCGGGAAACCGGGGCUAAUACCGGAUAUUCUUUUUCUUCGCAUGAAGAAGAAUGGAAAGGCGGCUUUUAGCUGUCACUUACAGAUGGACCCGCGGCGCAUUAGCUAGUUGGUGAGGUAUCGGCUCACCAAGGCGACGAUGCGUAGCCGACCUGAGAGGGUGAUCGGCCACACUGGGACUGACACACGUCCCAGACUCCUACGGGAGGCAGCAGUAUAUUAUCUUCCGCACUCCCCCAAACUCUCACGGAGCAACCCCCCCCUCCCACAAAG
rnacentral:rRNA from 1 species